rnacentral:rRNA from 1 species
CAGCAGUGGGGAAUAUUGGACAAUGGGCGCAAGCCUGAUCCAGCAAUGCCGCGUGUGUGAAGAAGGCCUGCGGGUUGUAAAGCACUUUCAGUGGGGAGGAAAAGCUCAAGGAUAAUACCCUUGGGUCUUGACGUUAUCCACAGAAGAAGCACCGGCUAACUCUGUGCCAGCAGCCGCGGUAAUACAGAGGGUGCAAGCGUUAAUCGGAAUUACUGGGCGUAAAGCGCGCGUAGGCGGUUUGUUAAGUCGGAUGUGAAAGCCCCGGGCUCAACCUGGGAACUGCAUUCGAUACUGGCAGGCUAGAGUAUGGUAGAGGGAAGUGGAAUUCCGGGUGUAGCGGUGAAAUGCGUAGAUAUCCGGAGGAACAUCAGUGGCGAAGGCGGCUUCCUGGACCAAUACUGACGCUGAGGUGCGAAAGCGUGGGGAGCAAACAGGAUUAGA